rnacentral:rRNA from 1 species
UCAAGUUAUUAAGGGUGCAGGGCGGAUGCCUUGGCACUAGGAGCCGAUGAAGGACGUGAUAAGCUGCGAUAAGCUUCGGGGAGUUGCACGUAAACUUUGAUCCGAAGAUUUCCGAAUGAGGAAACUCACUUAGAGUAAUGUCUAAGUAUCAUUAAGUGAAUACAUAGCUUAAUGAGGGGAACUCAGGGAACUGAAACAUCUAAGUACCUGAAGGAAGAGAAAGAAAUUCGAUUCCGUAAGUAGCGGCGAGCGAACGCGGAUUAGCCCAAACCAAUAAAGUUUUCUUUAUUGGGGUUGCGGACAUAUCAUAACGAAGAGGUAUCGUAAUUGAAGAGGUUUGGAAAGACCCACCACAGAAGGUAAUAGUCCUGUAUGUUAAACGAGAAGACUUUAGAUAUGAUCCAGAGUACCACGGGACACGUGAAACCCUGUGGGAAGCAGGAGGGACCACCCUCCAAGGCUAAAUACUACCUAGUGACCGAUAGCGUAUAGUACCGUGAGGGAAAGGUGAAAAGAACCCCGGGAGGGGAGUGAAAUAGAACCUGAAACCCUGCACUUACAAGCUGUGGAAGCACAUUUCUUGUGUGACCGCGUACUUUUUGUAGAACGGGCCAACGAGUUACGUUAAGUAGCAAGGUUAAGCACUUAAGGUGCGGAGCCGUAGCGAAAGCGAGUUUUAACUGAGCGUUCAGUUACUUGACGUAGACCCGAAACCGGGCGACCUACCCAUGAGCAGGAUGAAGCGAAAGUAAAAUUUCGUGGAGGUCCGAACCCACGAGCGUUGAAAAGCUCGGGGAUGACUUGUGGGUAGCGGUGAAAUUCCAAUCGAGCCCGGAGAUAGCUGGUUCUCCCCGAAAUAGCUUUAGGGCUAGCCUCAAGGUGAGAGAUACGGAGGUAGAGCACUGAAUGUCCUAGGGGGUAUUGCACCUACCGAAGACUAUCAAACUCCGAAUGCCGUCAUCUUAUACUUGGGAGUCAGACUGUGGGUGAUAAGAUUCAUAGUCGAAAGGGCAACAGCCCAGAUCGUCAGCUAAGGUCCCUAAAUGUAAGUUAAGUGGUAAAGGAUGUGGGAUUGCACAGACAACCAGGAUGUUGGCUUAGAAGCAGCCACUCAUUCAAAGAGUGCGUAAUAGCUCACUGGUCGAGUGAUCCUGCGCCGAAGAUUUCCGGGGCUAAAACUUACUACCGAAGCUACGGCAUCAGUAAUGAUGGGUAGGGGAGCUUCCCAUACGGGUUGAAGCAUGACCGUAAGGACAUGUGGACAGUAUGGGAGUGAGAAUGUUGGCAUGAGUAGCGAGAUGUGGGUGAGAAUCCCACAGGCCGUAAACCCAAGGUUUCCAGGGGAAGGUUCGUCCGCCCUGGGUUAGUCGGGACCUAAGCUGAGGCCGAAAGGCGUAGGUGAUGGACAACAGGUUGAUAUUCCUGUACUACCGAUAACCGUUUGAGAGAAGGGAUGACACAGUAGGAUAAGCUAAGCACACUGUUGGUUAUGUGUGCCCAAGCAUUGAGGCAGUCAAAGUAGGCAAAUCCGCUUUGAUAAUGCUGGGAUGUGAUGGGGAGCGAAAUUUAGUAGCGAAGUAGCUGAUUUCACACUGUCAAGAAAAGUCUCUAUCGAGGUUAAAGGUACCCGUACCGCAAACCGACACAGGUGGGUGAGGAGAGUAUCCUAAGGCCAGCGAGAGAACUGUUGUUAAGGAACUCGGCAAAAUGACCCCGUAACUUAGGGAUAAGGGGUGCCACCAUCAGGUGGCCGCAGAGAAUAGGCCCAAGCGACUGUUUACCAAAAACAUAGGUUUCUGCUAAGUCGCAAGACGAUGUAUAGGAGCUGACGCCUGCCCGGUGCUGGAAGGUUAAGGGGAUCUGUUAGAGCAAUCGAAGCAGUGAACUUAAGCCCCAGUAAACGGCGGCCGUAACUAUAACGGUCCUAAGGUAGCGAAAUUCCUUGUCGGGUAAGUUCCGACCCGCACGAAAGGCGUAACGAUUUGGGCACUGUCUCAACAACAGACUCGGUGAAAUUGUAAUUCCGGUGAAGAUGCCGGAUACCUGCGACAGGACGGAAAGACCCCAUGGAGCUUUACUGUAGCUUGACAUUGGGUCUUGGUACUACAUGUACAGGAUAGGUGGGAGGCUUUGAAACCAGGACGCCAGUUUUGGCGGAGCCAUCCUUGGGAUACCACCCUUGUAGUACUGGGACUCUAACCAUAGGCCAUGAAUCUGGUCUUGGGACACUGUCAGGUGGGCAGUUUGACUGGGGCGGUCGCCUCCCAAAAGGUAACGGAGGCGCUCAAAGGUUCUCUCAGUACGGUCGGAAAUCGUACGUAGAGUGUAAAGGCAAAAGAGAGCUUGAUUGCAAGACAUACAGGUCGAGCAAGGAUGAAAAUCGGACUUAGUGAUCCGGUGGUUCUGCGUGGAAGGGCCAUCGCUCAACGGAUAAAAGCUACCCUGGGGAUAACAGGCUUAUCUCCCCCAAGAGUCCACAUCGACGGGGAGGUUUGGCACCUCGAUGUCGGCUCAUCACAUCCUGGGGCUGUAGUAGGUCCCAAGGGUUGGGCUGUUCGCCCAUUAAAGUGGUACGCGAGCUGGGUUCAGAACGUCGUGAGACAGUUCGGUCCCUAUCCGUCGCAGGCGUAGGAAAUUUGAGAAGACCUGUCCUUAGUACGAGAGGACCGGGAUGGACGUACCUCUGGUGUACCAGUUGUUCUGCCAAGGGCAUGGCUGGGUAGCUAUGUACGGAAUGGAUAAGCGCUGAAAGCAUCUAAGCGCGAAGCCAACUUCAAGAUAAGAUUUCCCACCGCAAGGGUAAGACCCCAGAAAGACUAUCUGGUUGAUAGGUCGAAG